CAGAGCCGUCUGGAUUCUUUUCGUCUGUUGAAGUAUGACAUUAACUCAUGCAGUGAGCUCACAGGACACACGGGAUCCCUACUUGUACAGAGGCACAAUGUAGCUCCCGGCAUGUUCCUGAUGUAUAUUCGUGGGAAAUUGUUAUUUGCAAACUACAUUUUUAAUGGAUAUAGCAGAUCCAUAAAAGAUCUUCAGAAGCAAAUAGCAAAGACUAGGAGUGACCACCAAAUGGGAUACUGUCUUCCUAAGGAUUUCAAAUUCAGGAUAUUCCAUUAAAGGCUGAUACAAUCACAUCAUAUGAAAAACCACUCAUUUUUGGAAUAAGGAAUUAUACUUUUUAUUUUGCAAAUGAAAGAAAAAAAUAAAAUAAAAGUAACAACAUGAA